AACGUAGGAGACAACCGUUAUCCGGAGUUACUGGGCGUAAAGGGCGUGUAGGCGGUUCGUUAAGUCUGGCGUGAAAGCUCUCGGCUAAACCGGGAGAGGUCGUUGGAUACUGGCAAACUAGAGGACGGUAGAGGCGUGUGGAAUUCCGGGUGGAGUGGUGAAAUGCGUAGAGAUCCGGAGGAACACCAGAGGCGAAGGCGGCCUGCUGGGCUGCACCUGACGCUGAACCGCGAAAGCCAGGGGAGCGAACGGG
rnacentral:rRNA from 1 species